CCUACGGGUGGCAGCAGUGGGGGAUAUUGCACAAUGGGGGAAACCCUGAUGCAGCGACGCCGCGUGUGGGAAGACGGCCCUCUGGGUUGUAAACCACUGUCCCCAGGGACGAAGAUGACCGUACCUGGGGAGGAAGCUCCGGCAAACUACGUGACAGCAGCCGCGGCAAUACGUAGGGAGCGAGCGUUGUCCGGAAUUACUGGGUGAAAAGGGAGCGUAGGCGGGACUGAAAGUGGGGUGUCAAAUCUACGGGCUCAACCGGUAGCCGCACUCAAAACUGCAGUUCUUGAGUGAAGUAGAGGCAGGCGGAAUGCGUAGUGUAGCGGUGAAAUGCGUAGAUAUUAGGAAGAACACCAGUGGCGAAGGCGGCCUGCUGGGCUUUUACUGACGCUGAGGCUCGAAAGUGUGGGGAGCAAACAGGAUUAGAUACCCGAGUAGUC
rnacentral:rRNA from 1 species